AAAAAAAGAGUAGAAAUACAUAUAAAUUUGACAUAGGUAUGAUGGAGGAUUGAUUUGUUGCAUUUGUUGUUACAAGAUUUUUUUUUUUUGAGGGACUUUGUUGUUACAAGAUUUAUUAAUUUUGUUCAAUGUUUUUUUAUUUUGCCUUUUGACCAUAAUUUUAUAUGGAGUUAGAAAAAUCAUAAUUGAAUUGAGAGUAUCAUAUAAUUUCGAACUUCUAAAAGCAUAACUAAUUAUGAAAAUAAUCUCGCCUCAUAUUUAAAAGACCAUAACUGAUUUAUCGAACAUCGUAUCAUUUGGAGUUUUAAGACCAACCAAGUUGUGGGCAUCAUCUCGUCGCAGAUUUGAC
rnacentral:lncRNA from 1 species